rnacentral:rRNA from 1 species
UACGUAGGGUGCGAGCGUUAAUCGGAAUUACUGGGCGUAAAGUGUGCGCAGGUGGCCGCGCAAGUCGAGUGUGAAAGCCCCGGGCUUAACUUGGGAAUUGCGCUCGAAACUACGUGGCUAGAGUGUGGCAGGGGGAGGUGGAAUUCCACGUGUAGCGGUGAAAUGCGUAGAGAUGUGGAGGAACACCAAUGGCGAAGGCAGCCUUCUGGGCCAACACUGACGCUCAUGCACGAAAGCGUGGGGAGCAAACAGG